rnacentral:rRNA from 1 species
GACGAACGCUGGCGGCGCGCCUAACACAUGCAAGUCGAACGAGCGAGAGAGAGCUUGCUUUCUUGAGCGAGUGGCGAACGGGUGAGUAACGCGUGAGGAACCUGCCUCAAAGAGGGGGACAACAGUUGGAGACGACUGCUAAUACCGCAUAAGCCCACAGCUCGGCAUCGAGCAGAGGGAAAAGGAGCAAUCCGCUUUGAGAUGGCCUCGCGUCCGAUUAGCUAGUUGGUGAGGUAAUGGUCCACCAAGGCGACGAUCGGUAGCCGGACUGAGAGGUUGAACGGCCACAUUGGGACUGAGACACGGCCCAGACUCCUACGGGAGGCAGCAGUGGGGAAUAUUGCACAAUGGGGGAAACCCUGAUGCAGCGACGCCGCGUGGAGGAAGAAGGUCUUCGGAUUGUAAACUCCUGUUGUUGAGGAAGAUAAUGACGGUACUCAACAAGGAAGUGACGGCUAACUACGUGCCAGCAGCCGCGGUAAAACGUAGGUCACAAGCGUUGUCCGGAAUUACUGGGUGUAAAGGGAGCGCAGGCGGGAAGGCAAGUUGGAAGUGAAAUCCAUGGGCUCAACCCAUGAACUGCUUUCAAAACUGUUUUUCUUGAGUAGUGCAGAGGUAGGCGGAAUUCCCGGUGUAGCGGUGGAAUGCGUAGAUAUCGGGAGGAACACCAGUGGCGAAGGCGGCCUACUGGGCACCAACUGACGCUGAGGCUCGAAAGUGUGGGUAGCAAACAGGAUUAGAUACCCUGGUAGUCCACACUGUAAACGAUGAUUACUAGGUGUUGGAGGAUUGACCCCUUCAGUGCCGCAGUUAACACAAUAAGUAAUCCACCUGGGGAGUACGACCGCAAGGUUGAAACUCAAAGGAAUUGACGGGGGCCCGCACAAGCAGUGGAGUAUGUGGUUUAAUUCGACGCAACGCGAAGAACCUUACCAAGUCUUGACAUCCUGCGACGGUGCUGGAAACAGUACUUUCCUUCGGGACGCAGAGACAGGUGGUGCAUGGUUGUCGUCAGCUCGUGUCGUGAGAUGUUGGGUUAAGUCCCGCAACGAGCGCAACCCUUAUGGUCAGUUACUACGCAAGAGGACUUUGGCCAGACUGCCGUUGACAAAACGGAGGAAGGUGGGGAUGACGUCAAAUCAUCAUGCCCUUUAUGACUUGGGCUACACACGUACUACAAUGGCGUUAAACAAAGAGAAGCAAGACCGCGAGGUGGAGCAAAACUCAGAAACAACGUCCCAGUUCGGACUGCAGGCUGCAACUCGCCUGCACGAAGUCGGAAUUGCUAGUAAUCGCAGAUCAGCAUGCUGCGGUGAAUACGUUCCCGGGCCU